CUUGGCUCACUGCAGCCUCAACCUCCCAGGCUCAAGCAAUCCUCCCACCUCAGCCUCCCAGGUAUUCAUGUUUAUUGACCAUACUUCUGGGGAAGAGAAGAUACCAGACUGUCCAGCACUAACUCCUAUGAGGAACUCACCAUCAUUAAGGGGCUUCAUGAGUCUGGCACCCAGACCUUGUG